rnacentral:tRNA from 1 species
AGUAGCUCAAUUUGGCAGAGCAGCGGUCUCCAAAACCGCAGGUUGGGGGUUCGAUUCCCUCCUGG